rnacentral:misc_RNA from 1 species
AUAUAUAUCAACCUUCACUUGUUGAAUGGUUUGGAUGUGGGGGUUUUUGCUGGCCUCUUAAAUGGGGUUCAGCUCCCCUGAAAUGCAUUAGCAGAACAACAACCUUGUUCAUUGGUGUGAUAAUUAUCUACGCUAUUGAAUUUUGGGGAGGGAGUUCGGCUUUCUAACAGUCCUUGGACAAAUUCAUCAUUA